rnacentral:rRNA from 1 species
UGGCGAACGGGUGAGUAACACGUGAGUAACCUGCCCUUAACUCUGGGAUAAGCCUGGGAAACUGGGUCUAAUACCGGAUAUGACUCCUCAUCGCAUGGUGGGGGGUGGAAAGCUUUUUGUGGUUUUGGAUGGACUCGCGGCCUAUCAGCUUGUUGGUGAGGUAAUGGCUUACCAAGGCGACGACGGGUAGCCGGCCUGAGAGGGUGACCGGCCACACUGGGACUGAGACACGGCCCAG